rnacentral:rRNA from 1 species
UACGUAGGGGGCAAGCGUUGUCCGGACUUAUUGGGCGUAAAGAGCUCGUAGGUGGUUCGGUAAGUCGGAUGUGAAAUCUCCAGGCUCAACCUGGAGGGGUCAUUCGAUACUGCCGUGACUAGAGUUCGGUAGGGGAGUGUGGAAUUCCUGGUGGAGCGGUGAAAUGCGCAGAUAUCAGGAGGAACACCCGUAGCGAAGGCGGCACUCUGGGCCGAUACUGACACUGAGGAGCGAAAGCGUGGGGAGCGAACAGG